rnacentral:rRNA from 1 species
ACUCCUACGGGAGGCAGCAGUGGGCAAUAUUGGACAAUGGGCGGAAGCCUGAUCCAGCCAUGCCGCGUGCGUGAAGAAGGCCUUUUGGUUGUAAAGCACUUUAAGCGAGGAGGAGGCUCUUAAGGUUAAUACCCUUGAUGAGUGGACGUUACUCGCAGAAUAGGCACCGGCUAACUCUGUGCCAGCAGCCGCGGUAAUACAGAGGGUGCGAGCGUUAAUCGGAUUUACUGGGCGUAAAGCGUGCGUAGGCGGCUGAUUAAGUCGGAUGUGAAAUCCCUGAGCUUAACUUAGGAAUUGCAUUCGAUACUGGUCAGCUAGAGUAUGGGAGAGGAUGGUAGAAUUCCAGGUGUAGCGGUGAAAUGCGUAGAGAUCUGGAGGAAUACCGAUGGCGAAGGCAGCCAUCUGGCCUAAUACUGACGCUGAGGUACGAAAGCAUGGGGAGCAAACAGGAUUAGAUACCCUGGUAGUC